UACGCAGGGUGCAAGCGUUACUCGGAAUUACUGGGCGUAAAGCGUGCGUAGGUGGUUGUUUAAGUCUGUUGUGAAAGCCCUGGGCUCAACCUGGGAAUUGCAGUGGAUACUGGGCGACUAGAGUGUGGUAGAGGGUAGUGGAAUUCCUGGUGUAGCAGUGAAAUGCGUAGAGAUCAGGAGGAACAUCCAUGGCGAAGGCAGCUACCUGGACCAACACUGACACUGAGGCACGAAAGCGUGGGGAGCAAACAGG
rnacentral:rRNA from 1 species